rnacentral:ncRNA from 2 species
AUCAAUUAUCCAGAAUCUCAUCAGGGAGAUAGCAACCUGCAUUAACGAGCAAGGUGCUACAAUAGAUAAGCCAAAUACUUGGAAACCUUGUUAACGCA